UGGGGGAUAUUGCACAAUGGGCGAAAGCCUGAUGCAGCGACGCCGCGUGGGGGAUGAAGGCCUUCGGGUUGUAAGCUUCUUUUGCUCUGAACAAGGCAUGCCUUUGGGGUGUGUUGAGUGUAGGGGUUGAUUAGCGCCGGCUAACUACGUGCCAGCAGCCGCGGUAAUACGUAGGGCGCGAGCGUUGUCCGGAAUUAUUGGGCGUAAAGGGCUUGUAGGUGGCUGGUUGCGUCUGUCGUGAAAGCUCAUGGCUUAACUGUGGGUUUGCGGUGGGUACGGGCUGGCUUGAGUGCAGUAGGGGAGGCUGGAAUUCCUGGUGUAGCGGUGGAAUGCGCAGAUAUCAGGAGGAAUACCGGUGGCGAAGGCGGGUCUCUGGGCUGUUACUGACGCUGAGGAGCGAAAGCGUGGGGAGCGAACAGG
rnacentral:rRNA from 1 species